rnacentral:ncRNA from 1 species
UACCUGGUUGAUUCUGCCAGUAGUCAUAUGCUUGUCUCAAAGAUUAAGCCAUGCAUGUCUAAGUAUAAGCAAUUUAUACCGUGAAACUGCGAAUGGCUCAUUAAAUCAGUUAUCGUUUAUUUGAUAGUACCUUACUACUUGGAUAACCGUGGUAAUUCUAGAGCUAAUACAUGCUAAAAGCCCCGACUUCGGAAGGGGUGUAUUUAUUAGAUAAAAAACCAAUGCCCUCCGGGGCUCCUUGGUGAUUCAUAAUAACUUAACGAAUCGCAUGGCCUUGUGCCGGCGAUGGUUCAUUCAAAUUUCUGCCCUAUCAACUUUCGAUGGUAGUAUAUGGGACUACCAUGGUU